rnacentral:rRNA from 1 species
CAGCAGCCGCGGUAAUACGGAGGGUGCAAGCGUUAAUCGGAAUUACUGGGCGUAAAGCGUGCGUAGGCGGUUCGUUAAGUCUGUUGUGAAAGCCCCGGGCUCAACCUGGGAAUGGCAAUGGAUACUGGCGAGCCAGAGUGUGUCAGAGGAUGGUGGAAUUCCCGGUGUAGCGGUGAAAUGCGUAGAGAUCGGGAGGAACAUCAGUGGCGAAGGCGGCCAUCUGGGACAACACUGACGCUGAGGCACGAAAGCGUGGGGAGCAAACAGGAUUAGAUACCCCAGUAGUCCCUGUCUCUUAUAA